rnacentral:lncRNA from 1 species
AGAAGACAGUUGGCAGUUAUUUCGCAACCUUCAUCUGUUCCUGGAAGAUACCCGUAGCCUGCCUUCCUUCUUGACAGGCUGAUUUAGGGGUGCUCCCCAAGAAGAUCAGGACUGCUGAAAGAAUGAAGAAGAACUUACUUGGCCUAGGAUGUGGCUAGAGAACGGAGCGCACUUUCACUUACCUGGCAAGAAGAAUUCCAUUCUCCCAUCCCAGGAAGGAGAGUGCCCUGCGUGCCACGAAAGAGCCCAGGACCCACAGGACAAAUACGUCACUGGCAGACCUGCCUUCGCCAGCGCCAGCCCAUCUCUGAAACCUCCAGCAUUUGUGCCCCGGUCCGGCCCCUCCCAGGCCUGACUCUUUCCGAACGGUCACUGCGCAGGAUCAAGCUACAAUGAAGAGGAGGGAGGCAGUCUGCGCGCACCGCCAUUUUCUAGGAACUGGGAAGCCCCCCCACCCCUUAGGAAGAUCCAUCCCUGUGGAACCUUGCCCAGGCUUACCAGCCUUUGCUGAGGUUGAUCUAUUGUCCCUCCUUGUCCCCAUCAAAAUAUCCAGCACUCCACCUUCAGGGAGUAGACUUGACCCUCAAAUAGCAAGUUCAGCCUUCCCAGGUCUAGGUUCCCUGGGAGGUCAAGAUUCGUCUGGUUCCUUAGUACAGAGGGCUAGCUGUGAGUUGGAAUCCCCCUAUGAGCUUUAGAAUCAGUCAAGAGGAAUUGGGCCCCUUCCCUUCAUCCCUCUUCUUUUCCCUUUUUGUCCCAGAGCUCAGCUCUGACUCAAAAGUUUUUCCAUUUACCAUCAACAUGGAAACUUGGCUCCUCACGUAGGUAUAUUAUCCCCCUUUUGUACAUGGUCUUGUUGAUCCAAACUCCCUUUCUGUGAAAGAGGCCUGUGGGGCUCAAGAAGCCUGGUCAGCCAGCCAGGCUAGUCCCACAUACCUCAGAACCAGUUUAAUAAAGGCUCUAUGUCAUUCUUU